rnacentral:rRNA from 1 species
UAACGAAUCUUCCCCAAUGCACGAAAGCGUGAGGGAGCGACGCCGCGUGUAGGACGAAGUCCUUCGGGAUGUAAACUACUGUCAGGGGUUACCAAGUUCUGAGGAGCCCCAGAGGAAGAGGCGGCUAACUCUGUGCCAGCAGCCGCGGUAAGACAGAGGCCUCGAGCGUUAGGCGGAAUCACUGGGCUUAAAGCGCGUGUAGGCGGAUCGUUAAGUACCUUGUGAAAUCCCACGGCUCAACCGUGGAACUGCUGAGCAUACUGGCGAUCUUGGGCCAUUCAGGGGUUGCCGGAACAAGCGGUGGAGCGGUGAAAUGCGUAGAUAUCGCUUGGAACGCCAAAGGUGAAGACAGGCAACUGGGGAUGUGCCGACGCUGAGACGCGAAAGCCAGGGGAGCAAACGGGAUUAGAUACCCCCGUAGUCC